GGGGAGGACCUCAUUCAGGUGAGCUGAAAGAGUUGCAAUGCUAAGAUGUGCCUUCUUUGAUAUCUUACGAAGCCUUUCACCAAGAUAUGCAAUAACAAGAGCCAUACAUGGUAUUACCGUGGCUGAAAUCAGGGAUAGGNGAUAGCCCACAUCUGUGUUGCCAUAGCUGAUAACUGCAGAGCGCUAGGCACAGUGGUAUUGAGAAGCGCAUACAAAGUGUCAGCAACAUCCGCAGCUUCAGCAGUAAUUCUGUAAGCAAU
rnacentral:misc_RNA from 1 species